GCUGUCAGCGAGAAAGUGCGGGCCAUCCACGCCCACUGGCUGGGCAACCUGCAGUAUCCCGCGGAGUGGCAGCGCAUCCGCCAUCUACUGUCCAUAUUCAGCGGAUUCCAGGUGGAUGGGACGCCGUUAGCGUGGGACGAGGUCGACCUCCGUGAGAUGGAUACUGGCCGGCUCAGCACGAUGGCCUUGGUGGCUAUAAGUGAGGCGUUCCAAGCGUCAGCGUAGCCUAAAAGCGCCGCGCUGCGGCUGCGGCUGCGGCUGCGGCUGCGGCUGCGGCUGCGGCUGCGGCUGCGGCUGCGGCUGCGGCUGCGGCUGCGGCUGGGCAGACCUUUCGCGAACGGCGCGAACGCUUUCGUCUAAGUUAGCGUUAACGUUACUGGGCCAGACAACAGCUGCCCGCAGCACUGCCGCCCGCAAUAAUUAUAUAGACGAGCAUGCUGCACAUACAAUUACCCGCAUCGGUUCCAUCACUCGGUAAUUUCCCAAUAAUGAGCAGCUGCGUAUAGCUGUCCCGCCUCCGAUUAUCCGGGAGCAUCGGUGUACAUGUGCGGGUUUUGUAGUAUAGAUAGAUUUUGUAGUAUUAAGAGCUGCGUGAAUCUGAUUGGAUCCGGCUGUCGGCUGGUUGUCAUACACGGUAAUUUCCACAGUGAAAUCUAAGGACAAUGAAAGACUGGGAAGGGGAUGAGCCCCACGGUGUGCUGCUGCUUAGGGUAGAUGUUGUCCUGCCCCUACGGCCCACGGGAUGGCGGUUAUCCCUGCCGUUCAUGCCUUGACCUACUCUGCUACUCAGUACUUGUACAGAUUCAGCGACUUGUGCUCUCCUCUGGCAGUCUGGCUGGCCUGGCCUCUCCACGCCCAUAAAUAAAACAAACGGAUACUGAAGUUGGAUACACGAAAUUCAAUAAUGGCGUGCAAAUUAGUGUACAAUCAAGUCAAAAUUAUAAAGUCAAGCUCAGCACACCCGUCGCCGUAACACACAGCCACCUGCAUAAUAUUAUACGAAACUUUACAGAUGCCGAAAAAAAGCUCUUGCCCCCAUUGUGCUGCAGCUUGCCGGGAAUGGAAUGAUUAUUCUAUUGUCUUGUAUGCCUGACAUGUCUACGGUCCCUGUCUUGGCAAUAAUCAGCGCAAAACUCCUCUUAAUUCCUCACUUGCAGGACGUACGGGGAUUCCUUUCCGGGCACGGGCACAGGCAGUAUACCGUCGCCGGAAAGGCCAUUUGGCAGUCCACAUGCACAGCGCUAGCACCAACUCUCUACAAAUUAAAUUCCGCCUCCAUUAUUUCCUACCAUAAGCACUCCACUUCUCCUACCAACUACUACUGUUAAUCAACCACAGCACAAACGGUUUUCACGCGAAUGUAUACGAAUCAUGUAGCUACAGAAUGGUGGUAUUCGAAAUUGAAUACGCUGAAUAUUUUCGCCGCGAUUAUCAGCGGACGUGAUUGUUGAUGCAUAAAAAUAUGAACCAGUAAACAAAAACUGAUCAUGCAUCACACAUUCCUUCACACACUUCCAAACACAAAAUCAUACAAAAAUGUGUUGGGUCAGUUGGGAGUGCGCGAAAGUGAAAGUUUUCGUGCAUGUACACGAAUUCGGUAUCAUCACCGGGUCAUUGCCCUUAAUUAAGGUGUUAUUUUGUGUAUCGGCUACCGGUAAGGCUAUUGGCAUAAGCCAAUAGCCUUACCGUGAGAGCAUAUCAGAACUACACAAAGACAUCGGAAUCGCACAAAAAUCGUUUAAACCUUAACCUGACAAAGGCUAAAACAUUAUACGAAACUGAUUACGAGAAGUUAUUUUUCAAAAUUUAACAAAAUCUUAUAAUAAAUUUUAUUUUUCACAUCGUUGCGAACUUGCGAGUGCCGGUAAAACUGCCGGAAUAAGUAUCGCAAGUGU